CAUGUAGUCUCACUUUCUCCACAUCUGCCCUUCUCUCUCUCUCUCAUCUCCCUUUCUUAUCUGGGGUCCAGGAACAGACUGACGGCUGUCGGCCGGCGAUACCCGCGAAGAGGAGGAGAGGGAGAGGUCAGCGGCGGCGGCGGCUAAUCCACCUUCCUGCGCCCCCACACCUCGGCCUUCGCCUCCUAUCUGCGGUGGUGGAGCUCGGCCUCCGCCUCAAGCAGCUAGCCGACGCCGCAGUGGCAGUUGGCCAUGGUGCGGCGCAUGAAGGCGCACUCGUUGAUGAGCUUGGAGUAGAGCUGGUGGCCGGUAGACGGUCCUGAGCCGGUCGAGCUUGCGCUGGUCCUCGGAGCCACGAUUCAGGCGAGGAAGCCCCGGUCGACAUGGUUCCGGCUCGGAGCAUCCCGGCGUCCGCGGUGACGACCGCAGCGGUGAGGACGUCGUACACAAACCGGAGGUGUAGCCACGACGGGAGCAGUACCAUCACGGGCACAUCAGAAGGCAUGGCCGACACAGGACUGCCUCGAGGAGGAGCAUGGCAGAGCCCAAUGCUAGAGCAAAACCGGAUAGGAAUCGGAGGCUGAGCUCCAUCGCCGCGGAUAGGAGGCAGAGGCGUGGGGGCGCGGGAAGGCGGAUCCGCUGCCACCGACCUCUCCCUCUCGUCUUCGCGGGCAUCGGUCUGUUCCUGGACCUUGGAGAAGAGGGAGACCCCAGAGAGAGAAAAGGAUAGAGGUGGAGAAAGUGAGACUGACAUGUGGGGCCCACUGUCAUUUUUAAUUUUUUUUCAAUCUGGAAUGCCACCUAAUAAGUAUCAUGUAGAAUAAAACUGCUUACAAAAACCA